rnacentral:rRNA from 1 species
AUUGAACGCUGGCGGCAGGCCUAACACAUGCAAGUCGAACGAGUGGCAGACGUGUGAGUAGUGUGUGGGAAACUGCCUGAUGGAGGGGUAUAACUACUGGAAAGUGUCUCAUAUACCACAUACCAUGAUAUGGCCCCAGAUGGGAUGCGCUUGGUGGGGGGGUAACGGCUCACCAAGGCGACGAUCCCUAGCUGGUCUGAGAGGAUGACCAGCCACACUGGAACUGAGACACGGGCCAGACGCCUACGGGAGGCAGCAGUGGGGAAUAUUGCACAAUGGGCGCAAGCCUGAUGCAGCCAUGCCGCGUGUAUGAAGAAGGCCUUCGGGUUGUAAAGUACUUUCAGCGGGGAGGCGUUACCCGCAGAAGAAGCACCGGCUAACUCCGUGCCAGCCGCCGCGGUAAUAC